AAGAAAGUCACCAAAAACUUUCAUUAUGUAAAGAAUAGAAUAAGAAGACCAACUUUGAGGGAAAGCAACUAUAAGUUUCGAUAUUAUUUUCACAAAAAAUACCACAUGGAGGUUUUGUAAAAUAUUCAAAAGCCUAGUGGGUUAAGUGUCACACAAUUAACUAGUUAACACAUAAAACAAUUCCACAUGGGGUUAAGAUUGAUUUUUAUUUUGUUAAAGAAAGGGUAUUUUUAUGGUGGCAUUAUGAUGCUAUGUACCCCACGAGUUAGCCCAUAUUUUCACUAAAGGGCUUCUUUUUGCUAAAUUCUAGAAGAUCAAGUUCAAGCUAAACCUUCUUUCAAAUCGUGCUUAGGUUAUUAAGCAAAAAAAAAAAAAAGUGCUCAACUUAUUGCCAGCAAACAUUUGUGUAAUUGAAUUUGUCGGUCCUUCCCUUCUUAUAGCUGCCUACAAGCACAUACAACCACAUGCAUUGUGGGCAUGGAGUAUGAAAUUUUCGUUUGAAAUUCUUUUCCUAUUGAAGCUAGGAGUAUAGAUUUUCUUAUUCAAAAAGAUUUUAGAAUGUCAAACCGAAUAUCUUUAUUCAAUAAUUUAAAAGCUUGGCAUAUUAACUACAAAUACUAAUAACUUGAGAUAAUUUUGACUGAUUUUGGUCCUGAGUAACAUACUACUUGUAAAGCUUAUAAAAUUAGAUGACAUACCAAACUAGGGUAACAAAAUUA